rnacentral:sRNA from 1 species
AGGCUAAAUGAUACAAAGCGUGUGACGUUCAUAGACUGAUACUACUAGCUAAAGGCCCUAUAUCUCUGAGAGGCGAGACCGACACCAGGUUAGAUUCAUCUCUUUUGGGAGAUGGACCCACACCAGGUUAAAUACAUCUUCUUUGGAUAAGAGAUCUCUCUCAAUAUACCUCGAACCCAGCACCUCUACAUAAAAAAUUUAACACUGGGCCAACAGCUCGUUGGUCUCCACUCGCUCUUUUUGUAUUUGAGAAUAACUUUUUAGC